CUCCCACAUUCUUUAGUCUCUCCAACUCCAAUUUGUAUGAAAGGUUACUCCAUUUCCCUUCAUUCUCCCUGUUUGGUUCUUGGAAAAGAAAAUUUGUCCUUCACCCACCUUCUAGAGGGAAAAUAUGAAUGGCCUCCUCAGUGAAUCUCAGUUGUGCUUUCAAAUCCUCUUUUUUCCUGUCCUCUUCUCUAGGGACUGACUCAGAAAUCUUGGGGGUGGAAAGGCCCUAAGAUGUUUUCUAAGCCCCAAGUGGCUUGGGUCUCUCUCUCUGUCUCUCUCUCUUUCUUUCUCUCUCUCUCUCUCUCUCUCACUGGGGAUUGAACCUGGACCCUUUGCACUGAGCUAUAUCCCCAGCCCUUAUUUUUUGUGACAGUCUUACUAAUUUGCUAAAUUUCUCAGGCUGAGUGUGAAGUGACGCUCUUCCUCCCUCAUCCUCCCAGUGUGCUGGGGUUACAGGCAUGUGCCACCAUGCUUGGCAUUAGGGUCUCAUAAAACUGUUUACUGCAUCCUUGGGUAUUUCUACAUGACUCUCCCUCCACUUCUGAGGUACAUAUUGAUGUCUGUAAGCAUUAGAUGGACCUGUUAAGUGCAAUCCAUUUCCCACUCAGUUGCUAGGAGCUCAGUAGCAGGGAAGAGCAGAGCCAUUCCACAUUCCAUGGGGAAACUCUGAAAACAACUCCAGCAACUCAGAGCCAGGCUCCUGCCAAUACUCCAGACAUCGAUGCCUCUGGUUCUUCAUGCUAGUUAGUCAGUCAACCGCAGGGUCUUUACCUAGCAGUAUAACUUGGGAAGGUGAUGUUACCUUCCUAAAUAUCAGUGAAAUGGCACAGCAAGCGCUCAGUGUGUUCACCACAUUCCUGAUGUUCGCGGCGGUGUUACAGUCUGAACCCCCAAGUUUGGCUUAGGAAGCCUCUUGAGUCUGGGCUUCCUGGAGAGCUAUGAACUGGUGACAGACCGAGGUGGGGGGUGUUGGGAGGGUCAGGUUAGCUCAAGGCUUUUACAACCAUUAGUAAUUCAAGAGGCCAACUUUGUGGGCUAAAGCCAGCAUUAAAACAACAACAAAAAUGUGGAAUAAAUUAGAACAGAGUCCCACAGAAUAGAUGCAGCAAGGCAUUCCAAAAAAUAAAGGUCUCAG
rnacentral:lncRNA from 1 species